rnacentral:rRNA from 1 species
UUACCGAGUUUACACUCCCAAACCCAAUGUGAACGUUACCAAUCUGUUGCCUCGGCGGGAUUCUCUGCCCCGGGCGCGUCGCAGCCCCGGAUCCCAUGGCGCCCGCCGGAGGACCAACUCAAACUCUUUUUUCUCUCCGUCGCGGCCUACGUCGCGGCUCUGUUUUAUUUUUGCUCUGAGCCUUUCUCGGCGACCCUAGCGGGCGUCUCGAAAAUGAAUCAAAACUUUCAACAACGGAUCUCUUGGUUCUGGCAUCGAUGAAGAACGCAGCGAAAUGCGAUAAGUAAUGUGAAUUGCAGAAUUCAGUGAAUCAUCGAAUCUUUGAACGCACAUUGCGCCCGCCAGUAUUCUGGCGGGCAUGCCUGUCCGAGCGUCAUUUCAACCCUCGAACCCCUCCGGGGGGUCGGCGUUGGGGGAUCGGCCCCUCACCGGGCCGCCCCCGAAAUACAGUGGCGGUCUCGCCGCAGCCUCUCCUGCUCAGUAGUUUGCACACUCGCACCGGGAGCGCAGCGCGGCCACAGCCGUAAAACACCCCAAACUCUGAAAUGUUGACCUCGGAUCAAGUAGGAAUACCCGCUGAACUUAAGCAUAUCAAUAAGGCGGAGGA